GAUGAACGCUGGCGGCGUGCCUAAUACAUGCAAGUCGAGCGAACAGACGAGGAGCUUGCUCCUCUGACGUUAGCGGCGGACGGGUGAGUAACACGUGGAUAACCUACCUAUAAGACUGGGAUAACUUCGGGAAACCGGAGCUAAUACCGGAUAAUAUAUUGAACCGCCUGGUUCAAUAGUGAAAGACGGUUUUGCUGUCACUUAUAGAUGGAUCCGCGCCGCAUUAGCUAGUUGGUAAGGUAACGGCUUACCAAGGCAACGAUGCGUAGCCGACCUGAGAGGAUGACCAGCCACACUGGAACUGAGACACGGUCCAGACUCCUACGGGAGGCAGCAGUGGGGAAUUUUCCGCAAUGGGCGAAAGCCUGACGGAGCAACGCCGCGUGAGUGAUGAAGGUCUUCGGGUCGUAAAGCUCUGUUAUUAGGAAAGAAAAAAUGUGUAAUUAACUAGGCACGUCAUGACGGUACCGAAUCAAAAAGCCACGGCUAACUACGUG
rnacentral:rRNA from 1 species